GGGUUUAGUCUAAUAAACCAGGUCCGGGUCAGUUUCAGGUUGAAACCGCGAACCAAUUUAUAUUAUAUUGUAUUUUUUUACAAUAUGUUUUAUGUCAUAAUUACAACUUAAAAAGAGAAAUUGAAAUAAGAUUUUAUCGUUUAAAUGUAACUGUAUUAUAUAUUUGUGUUUUUUGUAGUAGAUUUUAGUUUUAACAUAUCAAUUUGGGGAAAAAAAUUUAAAAAUCGGGUUGAAUUGGCCGUGUUCGGGUCACCCGCAAAUAUUCAGGUCAUGUUCGGGUUCAUAUGUAUGACACGAUUUUCGGGUUUGGGUCGUGUUCAGGUUCGUCUAAAAUUUUCGGGUUGGGUUUGAACCCGACAACCCGCGAACACCAACCGUUUAGCACCCCUUCCUGACCUGUCCAUAACAGUUUAGUGCAGAUAGGUUUGUCUUUUGUAUGAAAAGUUGUCUUUAAGGGACUACCAAAUAUUUUUAUGUUGAGCAGGAAGUUAACAUCUUAACCACCAAAUAAAAUGAGGGGUCCUUUCGUCAUUUUGACGACAUUUGGUGUAAAUGAAUCCAAUUGUAUAGUUGAUUGAGGGACCUCUUUUGAACGUCUUUUCAGUGACCUUUAUAUGUCAUUAUUAAAAAAAAAAAAAAAUGGUCUAUUGAAAUUUAAUUCAAUAAAACAUUCAUAUACCUGAAGGCCCCAUAUCAUCAUGAGUAGAAUCUGCAGUGGGAGAAUCGACACUUAUCGUGCUCGGUUUCUCAAUGUAUGUGGGCCCAUUCUGCUCAAAUUACUUUAG
rnacentral:lncRNA from 1 species